rnacentral:rRNA from 1 species
GACGAACCGUGCGAACGUUGUUCGGAUUCACUGGGCUUAAAGGGCGCGUAGGCGGACCCAAAAGUCCGGGGUGAAAUCUUUCGGCUUAACCGGAAAAUCGCCUUGGAUACUGUGGGUCUCGAGGGAGGUAGGGGCAUGCGGAACUUCCGGUGGAGCGGUGAAAUGCGUUGAUAUCGGAAGGAACUCUGGUGGCGAAAGCGGCGUGCUGGAUCUCUUCUGACGCUGAGAGACGAAAGCUAGGGGAGCAAAUGGG